CAACCCUCAAGCCUGGCUUGGUGAUGGGGCACUGCUUCUUACCCGAGAAGCAGGCCCUGAAAUUCAGUGGCGAGCUCGCCAGGACCCCGAGCGCAGUAGUUAAACCCUCGCUCUGGAAGGCCCUGGCGGUGCCCUGCCGUUAAACCCCCAACUUCUGAAAA
rnacentral:misc_RNA from 1 species